CGCCCGAGACCUGCUUGUGCCCACAAGACGCGUAGCAGUAGACACCUAGAAGUGUGAUUGCUGCCAUGCCAUGCCAUGUGGCACCAGGAGAGGAGGUCACCCAAAGGCCUGCCAGUUACUGCCUGCCGUGGGAACCAGCACAAUGUGCAAGGAAGAGAAAGUCAGAGCUAAGCCCAACGUUUAGACAUCCUGCUAACAGUCUGCUGGUGAACGGUCUCCCUGGAAGAGGCUAAGGUUAUUGGCACAGACAGAUGAUCUGUGAUGUCUCAGCUGCCUGCUCCAGCCGCCUGCCGACAUGCCUGUCCCACCAUUAUGGACUCUCCGUGUGGACCCCUAAGCCCAAAUAAACUC